GUCUACGGUCACACCACCCCGAACGCGCCCCGUCUCGUCUGAUCUCCGAAGCUAAGCAGCGUCGGGCCUGGCUAGUACUUGGAUGGGAGACCGCCUGGGAUCCCGGGUGCGUAGCUU
rnacentral:rRNA from 1 species